AGCCACAGCCAUAUCACCCUGCAGCCCAAGACUGGUUGCCCACUGAAGCUAAGUAGGGUUGAGCCUGGUCAGUACCUGGAUGGGAGACCUCCUGGGAAGACUAGGUUGUUGUUGGAA
ensembl:rRNA 5S_rRNA 5S ribosomal RNA